AAUUACCAAGUUAAGGAGCAGGUAGCAAAGAGUUGCUUUUUACUUAAUUAUUGCCAAGCGUUCGUUUUGAACACUCUUUGUAAAGUGUGGCUUUUUUUCCUCAACGCGACUACUUUCGAUCAAUGAGCGCGAACACUUUCGACUAAAUGUAUAAAAAUUUAAUUCACGGCGUUGCACCACUUUGAUGUUGGGAGUGUAUUAAAAGGUGCUUUUGUUCUGCUAAUCGCAAUCUCACGCACAAGUGAUCCUUGAAAUCGGUACAACAGUCGCCUAGUUUAAGACAAGCGUGGUCACAAUAACAUGGUUUUUCGUUUAAGUCGUCAAUUAUUGCAUUAAUUGGUGUCUUUUGAACAACACAAGAGGAGUCACGCCCAUUGCAGCAAAGCUGUGCUUCGCGACAUGACCCUGCUGAAACUGAUUGCGGUUGCAAUAGCAAUACAGCCACAAUCAAUAAUUCCAAUAAAAGAGCUGAUAUGUGAAAACAUCGAUAGUGCAUUUUCUCAGUACGGAUGGCAGACAAUACAAAUAUGAUGCAUAUCGGAGGUAUUGCAGAAUGUAAUGUACACAUUUCCGUGAAAUUGACUAGAUAGUUUCCGUAAUGGAACCAAGUAUCCGUAAUACUGAUUGUUGUUGAAGCGACGGUGAUGUUGAAAAUUAGUUAAAGCUUAAAUAUCAUAAAAUCAAAUAAAUUAGAGACUACAAUCACGUAACAUAGUUACAUGCAACAUAUAUGCAUAUACAUAAGUUUAUACUUGAAAAUAAUAUACCCCCGUGUUGUGAACAUUUAU